rfam:Firmicutes bacterium CAG:103 genomic scaffold, scf141
GUAUUCUAUUGUAGCGCUCCAAAGACAGCAGGUGGCUUGACCGCGGAAAUCCUGCCGAGGAUGCAUCCAUUAUGAUGUUUCUUUUUCUGUUUCCGGGGCUUUGGCCGCGGAAAUUUUUUUGGGCGUGU